CUCAGAACGAACGCUGGCGGCGGGGUUUAGGCAUGCAAGUCGCGCGUGAACGUCCUUCGGGGCUAUUAGCGCGGCGAAAGGGUGAGUAAUGCUUCGUUAAUGUACCCAUGGGACCGGGAUAAUUCCUGGAAACGGGUUGUAAUACCGGAUGAGACCCCAGGCACCACGGUGCCGGUGGUCAAAGGCAUGUUGCUUUCGGGCGCAUGCGCCGAUGGAGCGGACGAAGUCUGAUUAGCUUGUUGGUGGGGUAAUGGCCUACCAAGGCGAUGAUCAGUAGCGGGCCUGAGAGGGUGGCCCGCCACACUGGGACUGAGACACUGCCCAGACUCCUACGGGAGGCUGCAGUCGCGAAUCAUUCACAAUGGACGGAAGUCUGAUGAUGCCACGCCGCGUGCGGGAAGAAGGCCUUCGGGUUGUAAACCGCUGUCGAGAGGGGGGAAGUAUUGACUGCCCUCUGGAGGAAGCCCCGGCUAAACACGUGCCAGCAGCCGCGGUAAUACGUGUGGGGCAAGCGUUGUUCGGAAUCACUGGGCUUAAAGGGUGCGUAGGCGGCCUGCCAAGUCAGGGGUGAAAUCCCGCGGCCCAACCGUGGAAUUGCCUUUGAUACUGGUUGGCUUGAGUGUGCCAGGGGUGAGCGGAACGUGUGGUGUAGCGGUGAAAUGCGUAGAUAUCACACGGAAGGCCGGAGCCGAAGGGGGCUCACUGGGGCACAACUGACGCUGAGGCACGAAAGCGUGGGGAGCAAACAGGAUUAGAUACCCUGGUAGUCCACGCCGUAAACGAUGAGCACUAGGCGGUUGUCUUGUUAGAGAUGGCCGUUGGAGAGAAAUUGUUAAGUGCUCCGNCUGGGGAGUAUGGUCGCCAGGCUGAAACUCAAAGGAAUUGACGGGGGCUCACACAA
rnacentral:rRNA from 1 species